rnacentral:tRNA from 2 species
GGCGAGGUAGCUCAGUGGUAGAGCAGGGGACUCAUAAGCCCUUGGUCGUGGGUUCAAAUCCCACUCUCGCCA